GCCUGGGUGGCUCAGUCGGUUAAGCGUCUGACUCCGGCUCAGACGGUCUGUGAGUUCGAGCCCCGCGUCGGGCU
rnacentral:tRNA from 1 species